GAGUAGAGGUGCGACUUUUAAGAGUAAGCUGUUGGAGAUCAGAGUCGAUCGUUGAGAACAUGCCCAAAGGAAAAGCCGCCGAAGUCCAAAUCCUGUCUCUAGGAUAUGGGCUGGGGUUGUUACCGAAUAGGAACAACACUGUCAUGGCAGAUUAUGAUUUGUCAUGGGGAGCUACUA
rnacentral:ncRNA from 1 species